rnacentral:rRNA from 1 species
UACGAAGGGGGCUAGCGUUGCUCGGAAUCACUGGGCGUAAAGGGUGCGUAGGCGGGUCUUUAAGUCAGGGGUGAAAUCCUGGAGCUCAACUCCAGAACUGCCUUUGAUACUGAAGAUCUUGAGUCCGGGAGAGGUGAGUGGAACUGCGAGUGUAGAGGUGAAAUUCGUAGAUAUUCGCAAGAACACCAGUGGCGAAGGCGGCUCACUGGCCCGGUACUGACGCUG